rnacentral:misc_RNA from 1 species
GAUGAAGAACGUAGCGAAAUGCGAUAAGUAAUGUGAAUUGCAGAAUUCAGUGAAUCAUCGAAUCUUUGAACGCACCUUGCACCCUUUGGCAUUCCGAAGGGUAUGCUCGUUUGAGUGUCAUUGUACUCUCACACUCUCUGAUCCUUUGGAUUUGGGGAGCAGUGGACUUGGGUGCUUGCUGCUUCCUUGUGGCUCACCUGAAAUGCAUCAGUGCAUCUCUCGAUUGGACAUAGUACGGCGUGAUAAGUGUCUUCGCCGGCACCUCAUAUGAGGGUGGCCGAUCGGGAGCUCUGUGCUUUCAAACCGUCUUCGGACAACGCUGACAACUUGACCUCAAAUCGAGUAGGACUACCCGCUGAACUUAAGCAUAUCAAUAAGCGGAGGA